rnacentral:tRNA from 1 species
GGGAUUGUAGCUCAAUGGUAGAGCGCUUGCCUAGCAUGCGUGAGGCACUGGGUUCGAGCCCACAUACCCC